ACGACCUGCUGGGCUCCGGCUCCAGCAUCCUUAACGGCCUGAGAGACCAGAGGAGCACGCUUAAGGGUACCCAUAAAAAGAUGUUGGAUGUCGCAAACAUGUUGGGUUUGUCGAACACAGUCAUGCGUUUCAUUGAGAAGCGAGCAUCGCAGGACAAGUUCAUCAUGAUGGCUGGAAUGCUGGCUACUUGCGUUGUCAUGUUCCUGGUGGUGAAAUACCUUAGCUGAACUCUCCCUCCCAGCUUUAGCCGACCCUGCUGCUCGAUGUCAUCAGUGGAUCAUUCCGGUUUUCAUGCCACAUGCAUCACAUCUAUGAAAAAUGCACAGGUGUGCUGAAAGAAAAUCACAGAACUGCCUCUUUGCA